GACGAACGCUGGCGGCGUGCUUAACACAUGCAAGUCGAACGGAAAGGCCCUGCUUGCAGGGUGCUCGAGUGGCGAACGGGUGAGUAACACGUGGGUGAUCUGCCCCUUACUUUGGGAUAAGCCUGGGAAACUGGGUCUAAUACUGGAUAGGACCAUGCUGUAGGUGGUGUGGUGGAAAGAUUAGUUUCGGUAAGGGAUGAGCUCGCGGCCUAUCAGCUUGUUGGUGGGGUAAUGGCCUACCAAGGCGUCGACGGGUAGCCGGCCUGAGAGGGUGGACGGCCACAUUGGGACUGAGAUACGGCCCAGACUCCUACGGGAGGCAGCAGUGGGGAAUAUUGAACAAUGGGCGCAAGCCUGAUGCAGCGACGCCGCGUGGGGGAUGACGGCCUUCGGGUUGUAAACGCCUUUCAGCCAUGACGAAGCCCUUGUGGUGACGGUAGUGGUAGAAGAAGCACCGGCUAACUACGUG
rnacentral:rRNA from 1 species